rnacentral:rRNA from 1 species
UCGGGAAUUUUGGGCAAUGGGCGAAAGCCUGACCCAGCAACGCCGCGUGAAGGAUGAAGUAUUUCGGUAUGUAAACUUCGUAAGAAUAGGAAGAAUAAAUGACGGUACUAUUUGUAAGGUCCGGCUAACUACGUGCCAGCAGCCGCGGUAAUACGUAGGGACCAAGCGUUGUUCGGAUUUACUGGGCGUAAAGGGCGCGUAGGCGGUGUGUCAAGUCAGUUGUGAAAUCUCCGAGUUUAACUCGGAACGGUCAACUGAUACUGUCACACUAGAGUACAGAAGGGGCAAUCGGAAUUCUUGGUGUAGCGGUGAAAUGCGUAGAUAUCAAGAGGAACACCUGAGGCGAAGGCGGGUUGCUGGGCUGAUACUGACGCUGAGGCGCGAAAGCUAGGGUAGCAAACGGGAUUAGAUACCCCCGUAGUCCCUGAGCGGGCUGGCAAGGCGCAU